rnacentral:ncRNA from 1 species
CUGAUAGAGGCGCAGUAAAGAUGAGUACCCGUCCGCAGGCACCGCAGCCGUUGAUGUUCGGGGAAAGGCGAUACUGCCGAAGCUUUGGGAGCUGCGGAGCUUUCACCGCUGAGCGUAUGCCGAAAAGGUAUGCGAUUGUCAUCAUAGCUUGAUGUGAUGGAGUGCUAUCGU